CAACACUUUAAUUUCCCCAACACAGGAACUUAUUCAAAUUCUCAUGCAUAGCAACUCACUUUUAUAUAAAGAUAUUAUCCCCCCUUUUUUUGUAGUAAGAAAAAAUGCACUAAGAAACUAUGCAAAAUGGAGAUGCCAGAAACCUUAAGGGUUGCCUGUUAGAAAGCCAGCUUUCCAUAAGACACACAGAGUUCAAGCUGGGUUUUGUCUUCUAUUUUUGACCCCUUCUAUUUGAACACAGUCUUGAUAAUUCAUAUGUCUUCUUUGCCAGAAUUUAUUUUCAUAUCAGCAAUGGUAAUAAUGCAUCAUUAACUGUGGUUUGAUAAGAAAUCAAAACAACUUGCAGUUUACUCUUAGUAUUUUGGUUAUUUUUUCACUUUAGGGUUAUUGCUUGCAGCUCUUUGAGAAAAUAUUCAGCCCCUAAAUUCCAACUGGGAAACUCUCACGAACCUAUGUUCUACAUGGUUCUUUUUCCCAGUGUGCCCCUUGUUUCAACUUUUAAAUGAUAUUUUUCCUGUUUAUAAAUGUUAUAUAGUCAAGGUAGAAAAUAUGGGAACCAUGUU
rnacentral:lncRNA from 1 species